UAUGAUGCACUUCUCCUAGUACGAAAGGACCGGAGAAGUGGGGUCAAUACUACAAGCACACCCCCCCUUCCAAGCAAUGAAUCCAACUUAACUGCUAAAAAGACUUCCCCCCCCACCCAAAGCUCCUAGAAAAGGACUC
rnacentral:rRNA from 1 species